UAGACCUCAUCAGCCGCUUUGCCAAUGGGCCAAAGUCCAGGGACACCCGGGAUUGUUGUUGACUCUGACUCAAAGCUCUUACACUCCGGUGGUCAUAAUGGUGGAGCCGGAACGAAUCCUAGUGGAGGAAAUCAAAGUGGUGCCCGCCAAAGUCAAAGCCUAGCUGUUUCAGUUUUUUCGACAAAUCCUAUUAACUCAAUCAACUAUGAUGGACAAGGAAAAUAUUAUUAAUGUACAAGAGCUCCCAGAGAGGUGAUAGUUGAUACUGCUGGAGUUGGGAUUGAACAUGCUUUUUUGGUAGAGUCACACCAUGUUGGGAACUGGAAUAUAUUUCACUGUAUUUGCUGCAAAAUGGAUACCCAUGCAAUUCCUUAUUCCACUCGCCAACCAUUCUUGCUAAACCCCAUCCUUGUGGUUGAUCCUAAUCAAAUCUUAAAACUGCA